GAUGAACGCUGGCGGCGUGCCUAAUACAUGCAAGUCGAGCGAACAGACGAGGAGCUUGCUCCUCUGACGUUAGCGGCGGACGGGUGAGUAACACGUGGAUAACCUACCUAUAAGACUGGGAUAACUUCGGGAAACCGGAGCUAAUACCGGAUAAUAUAUUGAACCGCAUGGUUCAAUAGUGAAAGACGGUUUUGCUGUCACUUAUAGAUGGAUCCGCGCCGCAUUAGCUAGUUGGUAAGGUAACGGCUUACCAAGGCGACGAUGCGUAGCCGACCUGAGAGGGUGAUCGGCCACACUGGAACUGAGACACGGUCCAGACUCCUACGGGAGGCAGCAGUGGGGAAUCUUCCGCAAUGGGCGAAAGCCUGACGGAGCCACGCCGCGUGAGUGAUGAAGGUCUUCGGAUCGUAAAACUCUGUUAUUAGGGAAGAACAAAUGUGUAAGUAACUAUGCACGUCUUGACGGUACCUACACAGAAAGCCACGGCUAACUACGU
rnacentral:rRNA from 1 species